GGCGGACGGGUGAGUAACGCGUAGAAAUCUGCCUGGUAGUGGGGGAUAGCCCAGAGAAAUUUGGAUUAAUACCGCAUACGCCCUACGGGGGAAAGCAGGGGACCUUCGGGCCUUGCGCUAUCAGAUGAGUCUGCGUCGGAUUAGCUUGUUGGUGGGGUAAUGGCUCACCAAGGCGACGAUCCGUAGCUGGUCUGAGAGGAUGAUCAGCCACACUGGGACUGAGACACGGCCCAGACUCCUACGGGAGGCAGCAGUGGGGAAUAUUGCACAAUGGGCGAAAGCCUGAUGCAGCCAUGCCGCGUGUGUGAAGAAGGCCUUAGGGUUGUAAAGCACUUUCAGCAGUGAGGAAAGGUUGUAGCUUAAUACGCUAUAGCUGUGACGUUAACUGCAGAAGAAGGACCGGCUAACUCCGUGCCAGCAGCCGCGGUAAUACGGAGGGUCCGAGCGUUAAUCGGAAUUACUGGGCGUAAAGCGCGC
rnacentral:rRNA from 1 species